CCCUGACAGUUUCGUGGUGAAACUGACACUAGCCGAGACAGGAGAUUCGCAUG
rnacentral:ncRNA from 1 species